GACGAGGGAUCCAAGCGUUGUUCGGAAUUAUUGGGCGUAAAGGGCGCGUAGGCGGUGCGGUAAGUCACCUGUGAAAUCUCCUGGCUCAACUGGGAGCUUGCAGGCGAAACUGCCGUGCUGGAGUGUGGGAGAGGUGAGUGGAAUUCCUGGUGUAGCGGUGAAAUGCGUAGAUAUCGGGAGGAACACCUGUGGCGAAAGCGGCUCACUGGACCACAACUGACGCUGAGGCGCGAAAGCUAGGGGAGCAAACAGG
rnacentral:rRNA from 1 species